rnacentral:rRNA from 1 species
GAGGAUCCAAGCGUUAUCCGGAUUUAUUGGGUUUAAAGGGUGCGUAGGCGGUUUGAUAAGUUAGAGGUGAAAUACCGGUGCUUAACACCGGAACUGCCUCUAAUACUGUUGAGCUAGAGAGUAGUUGCGGUAGGCGGAAUGUAUGGUGUAGCGGUGAAAUGCUUAGAGAUCAUACAGAACACCGAUUGCGAAGGCAGCUUACCAAACUAUAUCUGACGUUGAGGCACGAAAGCGUGGGGAGCAAA